UCUAAUGCUAUCCAAUCUCUCAUUUAUUUUUAAUAAAAACCUAAAUGCAAUCUCAAAUUAAAAUUCUUUAUACAUCUAUAAAUAUAACUCUGAAUCUAUUAAAAUCAAAGAUUAGAAAGAAAGUAAAAGGAUUAAAAGAAGUUUUCAAGGCUUAACCAAAGAUAAUAUUAAGAUUUAAGUUAAAAUAAAAUUUAGCCAAAAUUUUAGAAAAAAAAAAAGGAAGAAACUCAAAAAAAAAUCUCAAAACUAUAGAAAAACUAAAUUCGUAA
rnacentral:lncRNA from 1 species